GUGCUUGCUUUGGUAGCAUGCCUACUAAAAUUGGAACAAUACAAAGAUGAUUAGCAUGCCCCUGUGCAAAAAAAAAAAGACAUGCAAAUUCGUGAACUAUUCCAUUUAUUU